UUGUAACACAUUCACAUGACUAAAUUCUCUGCAACUAAAUUCUCUACAGAGCUGUCAGAAGCGUUUGAAACUCCACAUUCAGAUUUAACAUUUAACAUAUUCAAAGCCUCACAGAAAUCAAAAGGGGAGGAGUGAAACCCAGGAUUUUCAAAUUGACCAUCACAGACCGAGUCCUUGAGCUAGUGGAGCCAUCUCUUCACUUUAAAGAAGGAAGAACUGCUUUCUCUUAAAAUACUGCACUAGAGCUCCGGAGCCCAAGGUUCAAUCCUCAUGUGCUGUUGCCUGUGUCCUUGGACAAGUCUUUUUGGGCUGGCUCCAACAAAGGAGAGGCUCUGACCCCUCGACUGCGAACUGUGCCUAAGAGGUCCAGAACCAGCCUUGCAAAGUGACUCAACUCUCCUGAUGAAUUUGAGCCAUUGCAGAGCAAAGAAUGAGAGCAAAGAGGUAGAAUGGUCAUGACAGUCCUGGAAUCUUCAAGGCAAAGAAAAGACGCAUCUCCUGGGUCCUUGAUCUUCAAACAGUCUACAUAGUUUGUCUAGUGGUAAAUAUGUAUAAGCAAUUUCCAUGUAUCACUUUCACAUAUCUAUAACAGAGCUGAUGGUACUUAGCCUGUUAGAAGGAUGACUGCUUUAAAUUUUCUGAAUAUUCAACUGUUACAUAUAGCGUUGAAAUUCAUAACCAUCUAAACAAAUCAGAAUUCACAGAAAUGAAAAGAUAUUUUGCUUCUCAACCCUGGAAAACUCUUCUUCACUGAACAGUAAUAUUACAGUUUGUUCCAUGAAACCUACUCCGAGAGGAAAAAGAAAAUCAGAUAUAUUACAAGAAAAGUCUCCUUAGUCCAGCACAUUCAGCAGUAGCCAGAGAUUAAAUUAACCUAAGUUCAUCAGUAAUAUGAUCCACAGAUCCCCUACUGACUGAGACACCUUUUUUGUCUGUUUGUGAAGGAAGCAGAAGAGGGAAGAGGGAAGGGUCUCUCAGAAGAAUCCGAACCUGUGUGAUUGAACCGUUUACUCCAGAAACCACCAGCAUCAUUUGCUUUGAUAACACACAAAAUAGCUGAAAAAACACAUUCAUAAAAUGUUAUAUCUAAAAUCCUUUGAUUACAAAAAUAUUGGUGUCACAGUAAUGAAUAAAUAAUCAGACAUAUGUCUGCAAAAGAUUAUAGCAUAUGGCUGGUAACAACAUCCUUUUCAGCCAUCUUCUAAAUUGCACACCGAAAUUGAUCUAAAUGACAAACCACAGGUGUAGAAGUCAGGACUUAAGCAUUUUAUCCCCGACUUUGCCACUGAUUUACCAUACAACCUGAGGCACUUAAUUAACCUCAGCUGCCUCCAUCUGUAUUAAAAAGAUAACAAAAACAUAGGUGAAGUCCUUGAGACCUCUAGGAAAAGAAUACCAUGCAAGUUUAAUGAAACUUCUCUGCAAAACAAGAAAUUUUCCACAGCUGUUAGGAGAAACCCACAUGUCCCUUCAGAGUGUAUGGAGCGUACAGAGUGUCCUGGGUAUGCCUCUCUUCGUGUAUUUUCCAUUGUUUGCUAAAUGUGGACAACUGUACUGUUAUCAGUGUGUGAUUUUGCAUUGUCUGCCAUUUGCAAAGAAACAAUAAACUCCAAGUAUCAUUCUGA